UUUUAAUUUUUCAUUAGUUGCUUUCUUUAUUUUCACUAGUAUGAUUCAAAAAGAGAUAGAGAAUUGAGAUAUGUGUACAUAUAUUAUAAAUUGGGAAGAUCUACCUUCACAAGUUUCC
rnacentral:ribozyme from 14 species